AGAUUGAAGAAAAGAACACCUUUUCCUUGAAAACGAAAUGGAAAACUAGCACUGGAUUGAAAAACAAAACGUAGUGACUUUACAAGUUUCCAGCAUAAAUUAUUUCAAGCUUUAUGCACUGAGCCUUAUGCUCAGGAGCCCAGUGAUUUCUCGCUAAGGGUAAUGAUUGUACACAGCAGAGACGGAGCCUGACAUCAGUUAUUUUCAAGACCCUGGCUGACCAUGGAUAACUGAAACUGUGGAUAAGGGGGG